AAAGAAGAAAAAAAUGGUUAAUUAUCACUGUGUAUCAUCACCACCAGAUAUAGGUACCCUUGCAUAUAGGUAUAAAUGCCACAUGAGAAUAUUCACGUCUGCCAAAAGAUUAGAAUGUGUUCACAUUUUAUUUAAAUGAUAAAAACUCUUCACUGAACAGAUCAGUUGGAGCUGAAAAUUUGUUUAACAUAACCUGGACAGUAGCUGCAAUUAGUUCCUGAAAGUUCCUAAUCAUUUAGAAGUGCUUUUCCAUGCAUUGUAAGAUUUCCAGAAUAUAGAACAUGUAGUUCCUGAUAAAAAAAAACACCAAAAGAUUGCUAAGAUAAAACUGUUGAGUAACUAUUUGUAAUACAGAAUGCAUCAAGAUGGUGGUAUGCUACAUAUAUAAUAUUGAUACUAUGACAGAUGAGAAAAGAAACUGAAGACAUAACCAAAUGCUGAAGUCAGCAAAGAUUAAGAUAUAAAGAGUAGAUAUUUUCCUGAAGAUCUCAUUUAUGUCUCGAAUGUGAAGGGAACAGAAGCUAUCAUGAUGAUUCUUUAUAAAGAAAAGAUACAGAAACACAAGCUCCUGUAGACACUUAUAAAAAAGAAGAUGUUUUUGCAAUGAAUAUGUGUGAAUGUGAUAAAUUAUGGCAAAUCAACAUGGUCAAUUAACAACAAUAUGUUCUACACAUUUCCUAGAUUUAUAAGUUUCAUAACAUUUAGU